rnacentral:misc_RNA from 1 species
GAUGAAGAACGUAGCGAAAUGCGAUAAGUAAUGUGAAUUGCAGAAUUCAGUGAAUCAUCGAAUCUUUGAACGCACCUUGCGCCCUUUGGCCAUUCCGAAGGGCAUGCCUGUUUGAGUAUCAUGAACACCUCAACUCUCAUGGCUCGCCAUGAUGAGCUUGGAUUUGGGGGUCUUGCUGGCCUGUGGUCGGCUCCUCUCAAAUGGAUCAGCUUGCCAGUGUUUGGUGGCAUCACAGGUGUGAUAACUAUCUGCGCUUGUGGUUUUCCAUCAGAUAACCUUCAGUGAUGGAGGUUCGCUGGAGCUCAUAAACGUCUCCCCUAAGCGGGGACAGCCCUUUGAAUGUUUGAUCUCAAAUCUGGUAGGACUACCCGCUGAACUUAAGCAUAUCAAUAAGCGGAGGA